AACGAACGCUGGCGGCAUGCCUAACACAUGCCAGUCGAACGAGACCUUCGGGUUUGGUGGCGCACGGGUGCGUAACGCGUGGGAACCUGCCCUUAGGUUCGGAAUAACUCCCCGAAAGGGGUGCUAAUACCGGAUAAUGUCUUCGGACCAAAGAUUUAUCGCCUUUGGAUGGGCCCGCGUUGGAUUAGCUAGUUGGUAGGGUAAAAGCCUACCAAGGCGACGAUCCAUAGCUGGUCUGAGAGGAUGAUCAGCCACACUGGGACUGAGACACGGCCCAGACUCCUACGGGAGGCAGCAGUGGGGAAUAUUGGACAAUGGGCGAAAGCCUGAUCCAGCAAUGCCGCGUGAGUGAUGAAGGCCUUAGGGUUGUAAAGCUCUUUUACCCGGGAUGAUAAUGACAGUACCGGGAGAAUAAGCUCCGGCUAACUCCGUG
rnacentral:rRNA from 1 species